AAAUAGAAGUUCCAGAUACAGAUGGGAAGAUGCAUGCCCUCUCAAUUCCUGAUGGACCUCCUAGUGCCUCCUGGACCUAAGGGGCCUCCUGCAAUGUUCCAAGACGCCACCAAGGCAGGGAUCAGCUCGUGCAUUCCUGAGAACUUCCAGGAUGAAGUGAGGCUCUGGAAAAAUGCAAGAGUUUCCACAUAAUCCCAAAAAACCCUACAGGUGAACUGGAUGCCACAGAAAGAUGAGUGGUCUUUGACACAACAAAAUCAACAAAAUUAUUUUGAAGUCAAAUAGGAAACUCAGAAAUCACUCUUGCUGCCAUUAAGUGGAAGAACAGGAGCCUGUGAAUGGCAUCCCUGGCCUACAUGAGACUCCACAGAUAUUUCUAUGUGGCCUCAGACACCAGAAAUCUCUGUGAUUUUCAGAAAGGCAGGGACAGCUCAUGCCAGCCCGUCCCUCUGCAGAAUGUGUCCCAGCAGAUCAGCGGCAUGGAACCAUCAUGGACAGCACAAAGGCUCAAGGGCAGAUUCCCAGGACUGCCUGUGACUCUAGAUAAGUUCUGAGUCCCUGCGGUUGCCCAGGAAAGGUCAGUGAUGACCUCGAAAGAAGGGAUAAGAUGAAACCACCCCUAAGCAAUCUGCAGUAUUCCAACUUCAGCAGGAAGCCAAGGACCAGCUCAUACCACACUUGUGCCCCGUGAAAACCCCGGAUGCAAUGCCACUCUGCAGAAAGUUCCAUGUAGAAGUGGCUGGGAAUUUUGCAUUCUAGAAUGCAUUUUUGCAGUGCCUCUGGACACAUGAUGAGAAAUUUAACAUUGGUUUAUCUAACUCUGUCAUUUUUCACGAAGUGAUUUUUUAAAAUGUGGUAAAAUAGACAAAAUAUAAUUCGAACAUAUGCAUUAUAGGUCAAAGUAUGCUUCACUGGCAUCAAAUAGACUUUGAGAUACAAUCUUGGACAACCUACAUCUUCACAAUAUCUAUUUUUUCUAACUGAAACUCUCCAACCAAAAAUCAAUAACAUCAAAAGUUUGCAACUACAAGCCAACGGAAAAUAAAUACAUGAAGUCUACCACGGCGAAAUGGACUGCACUGGGGAACACAGAUGAAGAAAGUCAACACCGCUUUGUCCUUCAGUGCCUGGCUCCUUUUUCAGCUGGUCUUGCCACUCCAGGCAUUAUGCCUGAGAAGUCUCCCGGACGCCUCUGAGGCUCUAAUUCCCUGGGUCCCAUUGCCAUUUCUCUGGAUUUGCGAAGAUCCACCGGACCUCCUGUGGAACUCCCGUGUCGGUGAACUUUUGUGCCACGUCCCUUAAUUCUGCCCAUGGUCAUCUGCACCUGCACGA
rnacentral:lncRNA from 1 species